UGCUAACCAAACUACCAAAGGUUAUUUUGUCAAUCGAAUUUAAGUGCGAAAGAUUAAUUUGUUGUCUAACAUUUGUAAAAGUAAACAUUAUUUGUAUAUAUGUAUAUAAAUUAAAGAAAUUAGCGGCAUUCCAGACACUACUCAUCCAAUUUUUAAAUUUAAUUUCUUCUACUUCUUUUAAAUUUUGAAAGUAUGUUAUUACAAAUAAUUGAAAUAAUCAUACAAAUAUUUUUCUAGUGAAAAAACAUCGGAAGUACAUUAAAUAGAUGUUUUAAAUGUUUUAACGCCGUCGCUUAUUAACAACAAUUAAUUAACAACAUACUUUGUGGCAAAUUAAUUGAUGUGUUGCAAGGUAUUAUAACUUAAUCUAAUCUUUUAUUUACAUAAAAAACCCAUUUUCGAUUAAAAAUUGCUUUCGGAGAGAAAAAUAUAAAUAUAAUAUACUGUUCGUAAGCACUUCUAUAAAUAAUUUUACUUUUAAUAUAAAGAGGAUCUGUUUAAAAGAAAUACCAAGGAUAAUUUUCGAUAUUAUCAUAUGUAUUUCGGUUCUGCAUCUUUUGUAAUAACACGCAAUUUUAUUUUGUACAUUUAAUGUUUUACUUCAGUACAAAAAGAUACUGCUACAAAAGAAACAAAUUAUGUUAAACUCAUUUUUGAAACAGGUCGAGUCUAAUUGAAAAUCUAUUGAAGACAUUGAUAGUGACCAUUGUUAAUUUUGGAUGAACCUAGUAGCAAACAUUUAAAGCUGGUACCUAAGUAGCAAACAUUUAAAGCUGGUCGACUCUAAUUGGAAAUCUAUUGAAGACACUGAUAGUGACCAUUGUUAAUUUUGGAUGAACCUAAAUAGCAAACAUUUAAAGCUGAAAUAUUUUAAACAAUACUAUGAAGACUGGUGGAGUAUGAAUUAAAACUAACAAUUUAGCAUGUGUUCAAUUAUGAGAAAAAAUCUGGUUGUUUGAAUAACGUUAGUGGUACACUUUUAAUUAUAAAAACUUUGUUUAACAUAGUACUACUAGCAGAAACAUCGGCUAUAUAAACUACUUGCAGCACAUCUUCUGGAACUAUAUACAUACUACUCUUAAAUAUAAUCUUAGCGCCUAUUAACCUUUCUAUACACACGCCAGAAACUGUAACACUUAUAGCCGCGUCGGUUUGUGGGACCGUCAUUUUCAAAGUAAUUAUAAUGUGUUUUAAUAAAUUAAAAAAUAAAAUCAUAUCAAUGUUUAGCAAAUAUUUUGCUUCACAAAAUAAACAAAAGUGUAACGUAGUCUAACUA